rnacentral:rRNA from 1 species
UGAGGAAUAUUGGACAAUGGGCGAGAGCCUGAUCCAGCCAUGCCGCGUGCAGGAAGACUGCCCUAUGGGUUGUAAACUGCUUUUAUACAGGAAGAAUAAGCCUUACGUGUAAGGUGAUGACGGUACUGUAAGAAUAAGGACCGGCUAACUCCGUGCCAGCAGCCGCGGUAAUACGGAGGGUCCGAGCGUUAUCCGGAAUUAUUGGGUUUAAAGGGUCCGUAGGCGGAUGAUUAAGUCAGGGGUGAAAGUUUGCAGCUCAACUGUAAAAUUGCCUUUGAUACUGGUUAUCUUGAGUUGUAUUGAAGUAGGCGGAAUAUGUAGUGUAGCGGUGAAAUGCAUAGAUAUUACAUAGAACACCAAUUGCGAAGGCAGCUUACUAAGUACUAACUGACGCUGAUGGACGAAAGCGUGGGUAGCGAACAGGAUUAGAUACCCUGGUAGUCCACGCCGUAAACGAUGGAUACUAGCUGUUCGGGGCCUUGAGCUCUGAGCGGCUAAGCGAAAGUGAUAAGUAUCCCACCUGGGGAGUACGUUCGCAAGAAUGAAACUCAAAGGAAUUGACGGGGGCCCGCACAAGCGGUGGAGCAUGUGGUUUAAUUCGAUGAUACGCGAGGAACCUUACC